rnacentral:rRNA from 1 species
GAAAAAGUUAGACUUUUUUACCCCCAAACUCUGUGCAAUGGAGCACACGGCUUAUGCAUCGAUGAAGCCCGCGGCAAAAAGCGAUAUGUAAUGAGAUUCGUUAGCCUCGCGAUUCAUCAAAUUGGUGAACACAUACUGGACCUCUUCGGAGGUACUUGCGUUAGAGUGCUAGUUUUCUAUCAAUUGAUCCUGGUAAAAGGUGUUUGAAUCAUUAGGUUCUUACGCCCUAGCCGGUGUAGCCGGAUUCUCUCUGAGAAACCGGAUUGUUCUUGGAAAAAUGACAGUGUGUUGUUGGUUUCUGCUUGAAUAAAGAGAGAUCAACACCAUUAUUGUCUUUCUCUAGGUCAAUCACUUUUUAUAUUAAACUGGCCUCUAAUGUGAGAGGGUACCCCCUGGAUUUAAGCAUAUUAAUAAGGGGAGGAAAAGAAAA